rnacentral:tRNA from 1 species
CACGAGGCUCAUAACCUUGAGGUCACGGGUUCGAUUCCCGUCUCCGCAC